GUGUGUGUGCGCGCGCGCGCACCUGAGUUACUCUCCACCUAAGCUGGCAUUUGUUUUUGUGAUCUCACGUUUAACUUUGAAUGUUUUACAAUGUACGUAACAUGUUAGUUUGGUGAUAUAGGAAUAUGUGUCCUAGAAAGUGACCCAACCAGUCCUGAAUGACAUUUAUCUCUUUGAGGAUGAGAUACAUGAAGAUUUGCAUGUACCCUAAGAAGACUGUCACACACACACACAGAAAAACACCAAAGAGGAAUAAAGAUUACACAAACUAAAACAAAGCUAUGAGAGAGUACAGACUUCCACUGGAGAAAUCAAUUAACCAUAAGAAAAAGAGAAGUCGACCUGGAGCAGUUCAACCACAGCAAAGUGAGAUCAGAAGAAACACCCUGAAGGUACUCUGUGACUUGAGAGGGGCUGAAUGAGUUCAGAAUCGUCAAGAAAUCCAGGAUGGGCUGGAAGUUUUAUGUUGUACAGCUGUUUUAAUUUAUGAUGAGAACUUUCCUGUGACCUUUAAAAAGACGUGAAUUUGAAGACCACUGACCUAGACUCCAUGCAAGUAAGGAUGUGAGGUGAGGAACAUCCUGGAUUAUCUGUUGGACCCUAAAUGCAAUUUCAACAUCCUCAUAAGAGAGAGGCAGAGGGGUUGAGGAGGCCAUUGUGAACAUGCAGGCCAAGACUGGAGUGAUGGGGCCACAGGUCAAGAGUGCCAACAGCCACCAGAAGCUGGAAGACGCAAGGCAGGAUUCUCCCCAGAAGCCACCAGAGGGGGUAGCCAAGUCAAUAGC